rnacentral:rRNA from 1 species
AGAGAGAGACAUGCGCGCAUAUCAAUAAGCGGAGGAAAAGAAACUAACAAGGAUUCCCCUAGUAACGGCGAGUGAAGCGGGAAGAGCUCAAAUUUGAAAUCUUAUAGGGUUUCCCUUUACGAAUUGUAGUUUAAAGAAGUGUUUUCUGUUGAGGUUUUGGUAAAAGUUCUUUGGAAUAGGACAUCAUAGAGGGUGAGAAUCCCGUAUUUGACCUUUACUUUCAACUUUGUGAUACACUUUCAAAGAGUCGGAUUGUUUGGGAAUGCAGUCCAAAAUGGGUGGUAAAUUUCAUCUAAAGCUAAAUAUUGGCGAGAGACCGAUAGCGAACAAGUACCGUGAGGGAAGGAUGAAAAGAACUUUGAAAAGAGAGUUAAACAGUACGUGAAAUUGUCAAAAGGGAAGCGUUUGACACCAGUGUUGUUUUUCUGAAAAUCAAUUAAAGAACUGUUUAUGCUAAGCUGUUUAGACUUUAUCAGCUAUCUGUUUAGUUUUGAGCUUUUCUUUAAUGCACUUUUCAGUUAACAAGUCAACAUCAAUUUCUUUUGCUGUAAAAAAGCUUGAGGAAGGUGGCUUGAGAUUCGUCUUAAGUGUUUAUAGCCUCUUGCCUAUGCAGUCGGAGAGAUUGAGGUCUGCAGCGUAGAUCCUUCGGGGCUAAAUGCAUUUGUGCUAAGUUAUAGCAUUUUAUAGACAACUUGUUGACUAUGAUUUGUCUUGUAGCUUACUCGCUUAUGUUAUUUUACCUACGCUUAGGAUGUUGACGCAUGAGAUAUACGC